AGUGAACGCUGGCGGUAGGCCUAACACAUGCAAGUCGAACGGCAGCACAGUAAGCGCUUGCUCUUACGGGUGGCGAGUGGCGGACGGGUGAGGCAUACAUCGGAAUCUACUUUUUCGUGGGGGAUAACGUAGGGAGACUUACGCUACUACCUCAUACCACCUACCGGUGAAAGCAGGGGAUCUUCGUACCUUUCGCGAUUGAAUGAGCCGAUGUCGGAUUAGCUAGUUGGCGGGGUAAAGGCCCACCAAGGCGACGAUCCGUAGCUGGUCUGAGAGGAUGAUCAGCCAAACUGGAACUGAGACACGGUCCAGACUCCUACGGGAGGCAGCAGUGGGGAAUAUUGGACAAUGGGCGCAAGCCUGAUCCAGCCAGACCGCGUGGGUGAAGAAGGCCUUCGGGUUGUAAAGCCCGUUUGUUGGGAAAGAAAAGCAGCAGGGUAAUAACCCGCUGUUCUGACGGUACCCAAAGAAUAAGCACCGGCUAACUUCGUG
rnacentral:rRNA from 1 species